AACGUACGCUGGCGGCACGCCUAACACAUGCAAGUCGAACGAAGUAGCAAUACUUAGUGGCAGACGGGUGAGUAACAUGUAGGUAUCUACCCUUUGGCCUGGAAUAACACGAGGAAACUUGCGCUAAUACCGGAUAAGUCUUUACGGAGAAAGCUUUAUGCACCAUUGGAUGAGCCUGCACUUGAUUAGUUUGUUGGUAAGGUAAUGGCUUACCAAGACUAUGAUCAAUAGCUGAUUUGAGAGGAUGAUCAGCCACAUUGGGACUGAGACACGGCCCAAACUCCUACGGGAGGCAGCAGUGGGGAAUCUUGCACAAUGGAGGAAACUCUGAUGCAGCGAUGCCGCGUGAGUGAAGAAGGCCCUUGGGUUGUAAAGCUCUUUCGUCGGGGAAGAAAAUGACUGUACCCGAAUAAGAAGGUCCGGCUAACUUCGUGCCAGCAGCCGCGGUAAUACGAAGGGACCUAGCGUAGUUCGGAAUUACUGGGCUUAAAGAGUUCGUAGGUGGUUGAAAAAGUUGGUGGUGAAAUCCCAGAGCUUAACUCUGGAACUGCCAUCAAAACUUUUCAGCUAGAGUUUGAUAGAGGAAAGCAGAAUUUCUAGUGUAGAGGUGAAAUUCGUAGAUAUUAGAAAGAAUACCAAUUGCGAAGGCAGCUUUCUGGAUCAUUACUGACACUGAGGAACGAAAGCAUGGGUAGCGAAGAGGAUUAGAUACCCUCGUAGUCCAUGCCGUAAACGAUGUGUGUUAGACGUUGGAAAUUUAUUUUCGGUGUCGCAGCGAAAGCGAUAAACACACCGCCUGGGGAGUACGACCGCAAGGUUA
rnacentral:rRNA from 1 species